AAAAUCUUAUGCUUUCUCCAGCACUUAUACCAGCGAAAUUUUUGCUAAGUUAAAUCAACAAUUAAAACAAUAAUGUCUGAGGUAGAAGAGACCAUUAAAAGGAUCCAGAGCCACAAAGGCGUCAUUGGUAUCAUAGUCGUUAACUGUGAAGGAAUCCCGAUUCGUUCAACUAUAGAUAAUGCAACCACAGUCCAAUAUGCUGGCUUAAUUCAUCAACUUACUCUCAAAUCUCGUAGCACCAUUCGGGACAUUGACCCACAAGAUGAUCUGAUUUUCCUACGUCUCAGAUCCAAGAAACAUGAAAUUAUGGUUGCCCCCGAUAAAGAAUAUCUUCUUAUUGUCAUCCAAAACCCAUCGGAGUGAUUAAAAUGGGUCAAAAAUAAAGUUUUCAGUUUUACCGCAUUUACCCUCCAUACCUUAUGUACUGUUUUGAUUGUUCUAUUUUCCAACAAAUGCAUGGUUGCAUUAAAUAUUAUUUUCGUAUUAAGUUAUAUUGUUAUAAAUGUUUGUCUGCGUUGUUUACAAAUGUAUGCUGUAAAACGAAUCCCCCAUUUCAAAGCAGAAUUUUUGAUUUUUAAAUGGCCAUUUACUAACAAAUGUUAUAUAUAUAAUAAAUAAUAAAAUUAGUAAACUGCUAAAUUCCAUUUGCAUGUUCAAAUUGUUUGUAUUUUGUGUUCAGA